AGUCCAUCAUCCAUGCCCUGGCUGCUCUGCAGGGUGUAUCGGGACAGGAGGCAGAAGACUUAUUUCUUGGUGGCCCAGAAUACAGUAUCAGUGAAGUGGAAGAAUUUAACCGAAAGAUAGGGCAGCAAUUAAAGAAGUAGGGAAUGCUGUGAUAUCUGUUGGAAUAGAAGAUGAUGCUACUGCCCAGUGCUUCCAGGAUCCUUCAUUUGAGUCUUGGGUCUGAAUCUACUGCGUCAUUGCCAAGUAUUCUGGGUGAUGCCCUUUGCCAUGCACCCUGGUCAAGUCUCGUGCAGCUGACUGUGGUGCUGAAGAGAGAAGAUUUCUGAAGACCCUCUUGAAAUGGAGCUGCAAUUGGAUUAACACCACAACAGUAUGCUGGCUGUGAAUGUCCAC